rnacentral:rRNA from 1 species
UACGGAGGGAGCUAGCGUUGUUCGGAAUUACUGGGCGUAAAGCGCGCGUAGGCGGCUUUGUAAGUUAGAGGUGAAAGCCCGGGGCUCAACCCCGGAACAGCCUUUAAGACUGCAUCGCUAGAAUCCGGGAGAGGUGAGUGGAAUUCCGAGUGUAGAAGUGAAAUUCGUAGAUAUUCGGAAGAACACCAGUGGCGAAGGCGACUUACUGGACGAUUGUUGACGCUGAGGUGCGAAAGCGUGGGGAGCAAACAGG